rnacentral:tRNA from 1 species
GGGGUCGUAGCUCAGUUGGAAGAGCACCUGCUUUGCACGCAGGGGGUCAGGAGUUCGAAUCUCCUCGGCUCCACCA